rnacentral:misc_RNA from 1 species
ACACACUAUACUCCAUACAAAGAAAAUCCACAUUUAGUUUUAAAUUUUCCCAAAAAUUUCAAAAAUGAAAAUUUUGAUUUUCCUAAUAAUGUUUCUUGCUAUGUUGCUAGUAACAAGUGGGAAUAAUAAUCUAGUAGAGACAACAUGCAAGAACACACCAAAUUAUAAUUUGUGUGUGAAAACUUUGUCUUUAGACAAAAGAAGUGAAAAAGCAGGAGAUAUUACAACAUUAGCAUUAAUUAUGGUUGAUGCUAUUAAAUCUAAAGCUAAUCAAGCUGCUAAUACUAUUUCAAAACUUAGGCAUUCUAAUCCUCCUCAAGCUUGGAAAGAUCCUUUGAAGAAUUGUGCCUUUUCGUAUAAGGUAAUUUUAACAGCAAGUAUGCCAGAAGCAAUAGAAGCAUUAACAAAAGGUGAUCCAAAAUUUGCAGAAGAUGGAAUGGUUGGUUCUUCUGGUGAUGCACAAGAAUGUGAAGAAUAUUUUAAAGCUACAACUAUUAAAUAUUCACCACUUUCUAAAUUAAAUAUAGAUGUUCAUGAACUUUCUGAUGUUGGUAGAGCCAUUGUAAGAAAUUUAUUGUAAUAUGUCAUGUCAUAAUGUUACAUAUCGAAAAGUUUUUAUAGUUUAGUUUGAUAGACUGUCUGAAUUAUUAUUUUAUUCUUGCUAGUAAAAAUUCGAUUCGUCACAUUAUGAUCAUCUGUGGUUCAUUUUUCUUUUUUCUACCUCAAAUG